UGGGGAAUAUUGGACAAUGGGCGCAAGCCUGAUCCAGCCAUGCCGCGUGAGUGAUGAAGGCCCUAGGGUUGUAAAGCUCUUUCACCGGAGAAGAUAAUGACGGUAUCCGGAGAAGAAGCCCCGGCUAACUUCGUGCCAGCAGCCGCGGUAAUACGAAGGGGGCUAGCGUUGUUCGGAAUUACUGGGCGUAAAGCGCACGUAGGCGGAUAUUUAAGUCAGGGGUGAAAUCCCAGAGCUCAACUCUGGAACUGCCUUUGAUACUGGGUAUCUGGAGUAUGGAAGAGGUGAGUGGAAUUCCGAGUGUAGAGGUGAAAUUCGUAGAUAUUCGGAGGAACACCAGUGGCGAAGGCGGCUCACUGGUCCAUUACUGACGCUGAGGUGCGAAAGCGUGGGGAGCAAACAGG
rnacentral:rRNA from 1 species